ensembl:lncRNA
AUCUAGAUGUUUCCCUGGUCAGUGAUGACAACUCUGGACAACGCAAUAACUGUCAACCAACUAGAGAGUAGUGACUGGGAGCUCAGGCCUGUACAUACAGAGGCUAUCUAUUUCUCCAGAGCAGCAGCUGCCAUGAGCAGCAUGAGGAAGAGAAGUUCAACAGUGAACACCAGGAAUGGUCCAAGCGCUCAGAAGCAACUCAGCAGCGGGUGGCAACCAACACAGCAGCGGAUGGCAGCCAGGUCCCAGAACAUUCUUGUUUUAAGGCUGGGUCUCAUGCAGCCAAGGCUGGCCUUAAACUCCUGAUCCUUCCACCUCUACUUCCUAAAUGCUGAGAUUACAAGUGUGUACCACCGCACCAGCUCUCCAGAAGUCCGCUUGUCUUCUUUGUAGUAACUGCCAGCGGCCAUCUCCUAGAGGAAUCUCUAGCAGGAAGGAGUGGAAGCAGCACAGGGACUCCAGUGUCUCUCCCAUACCUCCAAGGCUAUGCAUUUAUAGUUCGUCUCCAUCUCGGAUGACAUGCAUUGACACCUGACAAACGUGUCAGAUAAGCAGUUGCUGCUAUCUCAGGAGACGUCAUCUUCACCUCCAUUCCUUCGCACGAAGCCCAGCGCCAGUGUCCCUAGGCCUGCCUUCCUCAUUGAUAAAGUGUCCAGUAACUUCUCAAUGAGCCCAUGCACUGUAGCUGUGGUGAUAAUGGGCUAUAUCUGGCCACCCUGGAAAGCUGCCCAUGUUCCAGUCAUGGCUAUGGCUAUCACUUAUCUGUUGAGCAUGAAUGACCAGAGGCUGGAAAAGCACAAGGAACUAUGGUGGUGAAAAGUGGAAGAGAUUAAUUUCUGUUGAGGGCUGAGGCUCUGCUCUGGGCAAGUGACAGGGAGAGGGCGUGGUGACAGCUGCCUUGGAGUUUAUGCCAUACAUCAGCACUCUGAAGGAAACAGAAGACUGCAGGGCUCUUGGGCUUGUUGACAACUUGUGCUUUCUGAUAAAGUUGUCAGAAAAAAUGAAAACAAAAACAGAAAGGACAGUCCUGAGAAGUUGGGAGUUUCCUGCCCUUGGAAGUACUUUGGGAAAGGCAGUGAGUGAUGGUUGAGAGGCUGUGGAAAAAGCUGCAUAUGCCAGAGAAGAGACCAUGUCCCCAAUCUUUCCAGUGCCAUUGUAAUCUGGCACUGGUGUUUGCUCCUUACUUGAGGGGGACAAAGGUCAGGGUUGAUCUCUGCUUGAACAUCAGUAGGAUCACGGGAAAUAGCAAAAGAGAGCAAGUGACCCUUUCACAGGGGUUACCUAAGACUAUCAGAAAACACAGAUAUUUGCACUACGAUUCAUAACAUAUAGUUAUGACGUAGCAAGGAAAAUAAUUUUAUGAUAGGGAGUCACCACAGCAUGAGGAAUUGUACAAAAGAGCUGCAGGGCUAGGAAGGUUGAGAACCACUGCCUUAGAGGGAGGGCAGGGAUGUGAGUGUCAGGGAGUAAUUGGAACCAAAGAUAAUCAGAGAGAUGGAGAAAUUCAGAGAGGUAAGAGCAGAAGGAGCUAAAGCACAAACAAGUCAAGAUCGACCAGAAUCAGAGGACACUUGGCACCCAAACAUCCUCUUUUGUAAGUCUGAAAGGGUAUGUUGUCUUGUUCCUAUACCUGGCUUUAAACAUGAUCAGAUUUCUGGGUUUGAUGGCAGACUUCUAUAAUCCUGGCACUUGGGAGGCAGGAGCUGCCUGCAUUCAAGGCUAGCCUAGGCUACACAGCAAAACCCUGUCUCAAAGAGGGAAAAAUGACCAGAAGUGGGGUACAUGUGCUGUGCUUGCUGUCAACACCACAAGGCAGAGCAGCAGAUAGCUUAUUGCUGUUGUUGGAUUUUUGUUUUUGCUUUGCUUUGGGUUUUUUUUUAGAUGGGGUCUCAUUAUGUAGUCCUGGCUGUCCUGGAAUUAUGUAGAGAUCUGCCUGACUUGGCCUCCCAAGUUCUGGGAUUAAAGGUGGGCACCACCACACCUGCCUUAGCAGUUAGCAUUUUAUAUUAGACAAGUUUUUUUUAAAAAAAAAAAGAAAGAAAAGAAAUUCUGAUGGACCAUGUUCCCUUCCACCUAGAUUGAAAUAUUUUUGUUAAUGCCCAUGGGAGAAAAUGGAUUCUCUUGCAAUCUCAAACACACACUUUAUAUCAUGUCAUUUAGAAGUGUGGUAAUGCUUUUAACCACCUGGAUGUCAGUUCCUGAGCCUUCUUUGAGAUGAAGACAAAAGAUAGCCACUUUUAAAUUUUUCUUCUUUAUAUAGCUCAAGCAAUAUGCAUGUCAGACUCAUGUGAAUUGUCAGAACCGCCCCAGCUCUGUGUUAGGACGGUAAGUGUCUUUUCAAUCUUGGAGAAAGCAGUCGAUGGCACACAGAAUACAAGGAGCCCCUGACUCUAACAACUUACACUGCUGACAGCCCUGUGUUUGUAUCUUCUCCUCCUUUGUUUGCAGUGGUUUCAGGUCAGAAAGCACAGAAGCUCUCAGCCCUGUGACUCUAACAAUCGGUGCAGCUCCAGCCCGGUUGGUCUUUGACAUCAAUGUGCAACAAUCAAGUUCUCUAUUUCUACCCUGACUAUGUCACACGAGAGAGCCUGACCUGGGUGGGGUGAUAUGAGGAAACUGGAUACCUUCCCAGACACUCAUGCGUCAGGUGUCUGCAGCCCCAAUUCUUUUGUUCGAAGAGAAUUUCCUGGAACAUCACCCGUUGUCUGUUAUCAAUGCAAUAACACAUCCAUUGCCAAGAGGUGUCCUUUGGGGCCACACCAGUAGACAUACAGGCAUCCUCCUCUUCAGGAAGGGAUUAUGGUCUGCAGACAGGAGGCAGGGGGUCCUCUUUACAGCAUCUCUGGGGCAAUGGUGGGAGUCUGAAUGUUAGUCUAAGAGUACUCAGUGUAGAAAUGGGCUGAGGUCGGGGUCUUCAUUUUUGAAAGACGCUCUAUCAGCAACGUGGUUGAGAGAACAGAGAGACUGACAGGCCAAGGGAGAUAGCGGGUCACUCUCACAUACUUCCUGUACCCCAACUGUGUGGGCCAGAGGCACCAGAGACAGAGUCUGCUGCUGUCCUCCUGGAGCUGAUGGGGGUGAAGAAUAUAAACAGAACCACGGGAAGAUCUUUCCCUGCAGUGGUAAGUGCCAUGCAGAAAAUAAAACUGGGUGCCGUGGUAACUCCUGACCAGGACGUGGG